AGCCUUCUGUAUCCGUGCUGAGAUUUCGUCACAGGUUAGACCAAAAUGGCUGAUGAGACUCGUAAGAUAAGUGAAGCG
rnacentral:pre_miRNA from 1 species